rnacentral:rRNA from 1 species
GACCUCCUUGCCGCCAUGGAUUUGGGCUCGAGCUCCGCUGCCAUUCAUGGCCGGAGUCCCCUGAGGCGGCAAGGCCCUGGUGGUAGUGGACCGGUGUUGCAACGGUACUACAACCCUGAUGUGGUCUUCCAAGAUGCAGCACGACAUGGUCUGGAUGAAAUUGAUCUGAAUGUUGUUGUGGAGCCAUCGAUUUUCCUUGAUGAUGAUAUGAAAAAUGUUGCGCACGAAGAAGAAGAUGAUGGCAUUGAUCUAAAUGAUACUCCGGGAAAUGAUAGUGACGAUUCGUUGCAGCUAAACACGGAUGGUGUAGCUCCAAAUCAUGGCAAUGCCCGUGUGGCUAGUGAUAAUGCCAAUGGAAAUGCUGCAACACUUGUUAACAAACCAGAUGAAGAUAUAUCAUCA